rnacentral:rRNA from 1 species
UCCUACGGGAGGCAGCAGUGGGGAAUUUUCCGCAAUGGGCGAAAGCCUGACGGAGCAACGCCGCGUGAGGGAUGAAGGCCUCUGGGCUGUAAACCUCUCUUCUCAAGGAAGAAGAUAUGACGGUACUUGAGGAAUAAGCCACGGCUAAUUCCGUGCCAGCAGCCGCGGUAAUACGGGAGUGGCAAGCGUUAUCCGGAAUUAUUGGGCGAAAAGCGUCCGCAGGCGGCCCUUCAAGUCUGCUGUAAAAACGUGGAGCUUAACUCCAUCAUCGCAGUGGAAACUGUAGGGCUUGAGUUUGGUAGGGGCAGAGGGAAUUCCCGGUGUAGCGGUGAAAUGCGUAGAUAUCGGGAAGAACACCAGUGGCGAAGGCGCUCUGCUGGGCCAUAACUGACGCUCAUGGACGAAAGCCAGGGGAGCGAAAGGGAUUAGAUACCCCUGUAGUCCUGGCCGUAAACGAUGAACACUAGGUGUCGGGGGAAUCGACCCCCUCGGUGUCGUAGCUAACGCGUUAAGUGUUCCGCCUGGGGAGUACGCACGCAAGUGUGAAACUCAAAUGAAUUGACGG